CGGCUCAGUAACACGUGGAUAACCUGCCCUUGGGUCCGGCAUAACCCCGGGAAACUGGGGAUAAUUCCGGAUAACGCAUAUAUGCUGGAACGCUUUAUGCGUCAAAUGGAUUCGUCUGCCCAAGGAUGGGUCUGCGGCCUAUCAGGUAGUAGUGGGUGUAAUGUACCUACUAGCCGACGACGGGUACGGGUUGUGAGAGCAAGAGCCCGGAGAUGGAUUCUGAGACAUGAAUCCAGGCCCUACGGGGCGCAGCAGGCGCGAAAACUUUACAAUGCGGGAAACCGUGAUAAGGGGACACCGAGUGCCAGCAUCAUAUGCUGGCUGUCCGGGUGUGUAAAAUACACCUGUUAGCAAGGGCCGGGCAAGACCGGUGCCAGCCGCCGCGGUAACACCGGCGGCCCGAGUGGUGAUCGUGAUUAUUGGGUCUAAAGGGUCCGUAGCCGGUUUGGUCAGUCCUCCGGGAAAUCUGACGGCUUAACCGUUAGGCUUUCGGAGGAUACUGCCAGGCUUGGAACCGGGAGAGGUAAGAGGUACUACAGGGGUAGGAGUGAAAUCUUGUAAUCCCUGUGGGACCACCUGUGGCGAA
rnacentral:rRNA from 1 species